GCUUGUAAUGUAGGUGGUUAGGUGCACUGUUCUUGAACUAUUUCAGUUAUGCAUUAAGAUGGCCCAAUUAAGCAUGCUACAUGGUUUGUUAUAGGUUCUGGCUCAUUCUAACUGCAUCAGCUUGGUCAUGCAUUAUUUUGAUGUUGGAUUAAGGUUUGCAAGAAGAGAUUUGGUAAAGACAAAGCAAUCACCUCAAGGACCUAGCUUGCAGUUCUGAUUUGGAAAAUGAAAUGCAGCUGGAUUUCCAUGGUAGAACAAGAGUUUACACCAUAACCAAAAAAUGGAGUUUCAAACAUUCAUGCCAAAUAACAAGUGUUCAAAGAUAAAGAAUUAAGAUUUAACCUUAGUAUUAGGAUCAUGACUAUGAUUUAGGGUUUUAGGCCAAAGGAAGGGUGUGGGUUGACUUUGGUCAAAGUUGACCAAAAAGUCAACUAUUGACCAAAGUCAACCUUUGGUCAACCUUCCCAAAUUUGUAAUUUUCACAUUUUGGAUAUUAUAUGACUAUGUAAUGAAUGAACUUGAUAUGUUUUGAAUGAAUUGACUAAGAGAAUGGGUUGAAAAUGA